GCCAUAGCUCUGUGGUGGAGCGCCUGCUUUGCAAACAGAAGGUCCCAGAUUCAUUCCCUGGCAUCUGCA